UAGACCAAGACCAAUGGGGCUCUCGGGCUCCUAAGUUAAGGUGACUCUGGAUAACUGUGCUGAUCGCAUGGCCUUAGCGCCGGCGAUGAAUCUUUCAAGCGUCUGCCUUAUCAACUUUCGAUGGUAGGUUAUGCGCCUACCAUGGUUGUAACGGGUGACGGGGAAUCAGGGUUCGAUUCCGGAGAGGGAGCCUGAGAAACGGCUACCACAUCCAAGGAAGGCAGCAGGCACGCAAAUUACCCACUCCCAGAACGGGGAGGUAGUGACGAAAAAUAACAAUACGGGAUUCUAAUGAAGCCCCGUAAUUGGAAUGAAAACAAUCUAAAUCCUUUAAUGAGGAUCAAUUGGAGGGCAAGUCUGGUGCCAGCAGCCGCGGUAAUUCCAGCUCCAAUAGCGUAUAUUAAAGUUGUUGUGGUUAAAAAGCUCGUAGUUGGACCUCAGUUCAUGCUAUGUGGUCCGCUUGCCGGCGGUUACUGCUUAGCUGAACAGCUUACAGAUUUGUCUUGUGAUGCUCUUUACCGGGUGUCAUGAGCGAUCUGUACGUUUACUUUGAACAAAUUAGAGUGCUCAAAGCAG
rnacentral:rRNA from 1 species